rnacentral:rRNA from 1 species
UACGUAGGUGGCAAGCGUUGUCCGGAAUUAUUGGGCGUAAAGCGCGCGCAGGCGGUCCUUUAAGUCUGAUGUGAAAGCCCACGGCUCAACCGUGGAGGGUCAUUGGAAACUGGGGGACUUGAGUGCAGGAGAGAAGAGUGGAAUUCCACGUGUAGCGGUGAAAUGCGUAGAGAUGUGGAGGAACACCAGUGGCGAAGGCGACUCUUUGGCCCGUAACUGACGCUGAGGCGCGAAAGCGUGGGGAGCAAACAGG